rnacentral:misc_RNA from 1 species
GAUGAAGAACGUAGUGAAAUGCGAUAAGUAAUGCGAAUUGCAGAAUUCAGUGAAUCAUCGAGUCUUUGAACGCACAUUGCGCCCCCUGGUAUUCCGGGGGGCAUGCCUGUCCGAGCGUCAUUGCUGCCCUCAAGCACGGCUUGUGUGUUGGGCCUCCGUCCUCCUCCCGGGGGACGGGCCCGAAAGGCAGCGGCGGCACCGCGUCCGGUCCUCGAGCGUAUGGGGCUUCGUCACCCGCUCUUGUAGGCCCGGCCGGCGCUUGCCGACACAUCAAUCUUUUUUCCAGGUUGACCUCGGAUCAGGUAGGGAUACCCGCUGAACUUAAGCAUAUCAAUAAGCGGAGGA